GGACUACAGGGGUAUCUAAUCCUGUUUGCUCCCCACGCUCUCGCGCCUCAGUGUCAGUAUCAGUCCAGGCGGCCGCCUUCGCCACCGGUGUUCCUUCCGAUCUCUACGCAUUUCACCGCUACACCGGAAAUUCUGCCGCCCUCUACUGUACUCCAGCGGCCCAGUCUUAAGCGCCAUUCCUAGGUUGAGCCCAGGGAUUUCACGCCUAUCUUAAACCGCAACCUACGCGCCCUUUACGCCCAGUCACUCCGAUUAACGCUCGCACCCUCUGUAUUACCGCGGCUGCUGGCAC
rnacentral:rRNA from 1 species